AACGAAUUAAAUUUGGUGUUUUGAAUUGGGUGACGUGGGCAAAAGUGGAAGAGAGUAUCCAAAUAGGCAGUGGCGAAUGCAAUCUAAGCACCUCAGCAAUGGCGUCGGCGCCUGCUUAUUCCUUUCCCCAUUGAUCGAUCGAUCAAUUAACCACUAAUUGAUGAGACGAUGCGUUGUUGUUGUGGAUUAGGAUCUCGCCGGUGGAUUUCCAACUACGACAAGCUCCAUCGCUUAGCCCUCAUCCUCAUCUACGCUCAGAUUGGCUGCUCUCUCCUCGGAUCGCUCUCCCCUCUCUACAAUGGCGUCCUCAUCCUCCACUUAGGGGUUUCUCUCUUCGGCCUCGUCGCCGUCGAGAGCAGCAAUCAGAGCCUCGCUCGCACCUACACCUUCCUCCUCUUCUGCUCCUUCUUCCUCGACCUCUCAUGGUUCUUCCUUUUCUCUCACCAAAUCUGGCAUUUUCCUUCUGGUGUGUACGGAACCUUUGCAUCCUACGCUGUGAAGCUGACACUGGUGGUGCAGAUUGCCGGAGUUUCAGUGAGGUUGUUAUCAUCCUUCUUAUGGAUUCAGAUUUACAGGCAGGGUGUUUCUAGCGCGGACGGCUCAGCUGCCAGAGAUGCCGAUGCCGAUUUGAGAUUUAAUUGCCUCAACUCGGCUACUCAUGUUGUUCGACAUCCCUACGAUGUGAUCGACGAUGCGUAUGAUCCUGCUAAUUUCCUGCCUCUUUUUGGAGAUCGCGCCAGAGAUGACUCCUCUCGAUAUGGGGCUAUUCAAAACGGCGACUCAUCUGUAGGAGACUCUGCUGGAACUUCUCAGCCGCAUUCAUACAAAAGUUCUGAUGUUUUCAUGUUAAGAUAAUGAUCAGAAAUGCUUGAGAUGGUUUGAACUAAUGGUGAUGGUUACUUUCUCCGUUCAUUCCAUCCUCAUAUUUUUUUAUUUUUUUAUUCAAUUAAAGAUGGGUCCAGGACCACAUUCUCACAUUGUUCUUUUUCGAUGAAAGAAGGCCUGCAACUAUUAAAUGAUAAAUAAACAAAAAUAAUAUUUUGAAACAUAAUGAUUAUACCAAGAGUGUAUAACAUUGAAGGUGGUAUGGAUUUUUAAACAAUGUUA